CCUACGGGAGGCAGCAGUGGGGAAUAUUGCACAAUGGGGGAAACCCUGAUGCAGCGACGCCGCGUGAGUGAAGAAGUAUUUCGGUACGUAAAGCUCUAUCAGCAGGGAAGAAAAUGACGGUACCUGACUAAGAAGCCCCGGCUAACUACGUGCCAGCAGCCGCGGUAAUACGUAGGGGGCAAGCGUUAUCCGGAUUUACUGGGUGUAAAGGGAGCGUAGACGGCAGCGCAAGUCUGGAGUGAAAUCCCAUGGCUUAACCAUGGAACUGCUUUGGAAACUGUGCAGCUAGAGUGCAGGAGAGGUAAGCGGAAUUCCUAGUGUAGCGGUGAAAUGCGUAGAUAUUAGGAGGAACACCAGUGGCGAAGGCGGCUUACUGGACUGUAACUGACGUUGAGGCUCGAAAGCGUGGGGAGCAAACAGGAUUAGGUACCCCAGUAGUC
rnacentral:rRNA from 1 species